UAAAUAUGAACUUAUUAUAAAGAUGUC
rnacentral:piRNA from 1 species